GACGAACGCUGGCGGCGUGCUUAACACAUGCAAGUCGAACGGAAAGGCUCCAGCUUGCUGGUGUACUCGAGUGGCGAACGGGUGAGUAACACGUGGGUAAUCUGCCCUGCACUCUGGGAUAAGCCUGGGAAACUGGGUCUAAUACUGGAUAUGACCUUUCUCCUUAUGGGGUUUGGUGGAAAGUUUUUCGGUGUAGGAUGAGCCCGCGGCCUAUCAGCUUGUUGGUGGGGUGAUGGCCUACCAAGGCGACGACGGGUAGCCGGCCUGAGAGGGUGAUCGGGCACAUUGGGACUGAGAUACGGCCCAGACUCCUACGGGAGGCAGCAGUGGGGAAUAUUGCACAAUGGGCGGAAGCCUGAUGCAGCGACGCCGCGUGAGGGAUGACGGCCUUCGGGUUGUAAACCUCUUUCAGCAGGGACGAAGCGUAAGUGACGGUACCUGCAGAAGAAGCACCGGCUAACUAUGUG
rnacentral:rRNA from 1 species